GACGAACGCUGGCGGCGUGCUUAACACAUGCAAGUCGAACGGAAAGGCCCUGCUUUUGUGGGGUGCUCGAGUGGCGAACGGGUGAGUAACACGUGAGUAACCUGCCCUUGACUUUGGGAUAACUUCAGGAAACUGGGGCUAAUACCGGAUAUGAGCUCCUGCUGCAUGUUGGGGGUUGGAAAGUUUCGGCGGUGGGGGAUGGACUCGCGGGUUAUCAGCUUGUUGGUGGGGUAGUGGCUUACCAAGGCUUUGACGGGUAGCCGGCCUGAGAGGGUGACCGGCAACAUUGGGACUGAGAUACGGCCCAGAAUCCUACGGGAGGCAGCAGUGGGGAAUAUUGCACAAUGGGCGGAAGCCUGAUGCAGAAACGCCGCGUGCGGGAUGACGGCCUUCGGGUUGUAAACCGCUUUCGCCUGUGACGAAGCGUGAGUGACGGUAAUGGGUAAAGAAGCACCGGCUAACUACGUG
rnacentral:rRNA from 1 species